UGGCUAUGUUUGUAUACUUUUUAUUUAAAAUUGUAUACAAUGUAACAUUCUUCUUCUUUCACUGGGUAAGUAUAUUAGUACUUAGGCAAUACUGUGCUUUGGCACUUUGACACUUCGGAAAUUCGGUCAUUUCAAAACCUCUGCAAUUCGGACAUUCGGAAGUACCCGAAUGUCCGAAUUCAUAUUCAGACCAAAACGAAUUGCACAUGUCUACAAAGUGAUUUAACUCAUAAAUGGCAGAGAACUGAGCAGUGAAACUGCAUGAG